GGAGAACUAAAAGAGGUCCAAUCCAAUCGAAGAUUGAAAUACAAGGCAGUGAUAGAGGAAAACACGCUGAUUAAUAGUAGUUCUUCUCUUGUUUCUGGUAGCGAAGGUGAGAUCAAUACACUUGCUCCUGACAAAAGCACACUUGAAAGUGAGAACUGGGGGGGGUGUGAUUUUUGCAACUCAGAUAACAUUGACUCGGAUUCGACUGAAUUUGAAAUUGGGGGACUUCAUUACGGUCCUUAUAGCGACGAUGACGGGGGACUUCAUUACGGUCCUUAUAGCGACGAUGACGGCUUUGGGUAUGAAAUGAAGGAGACCAAUUUUGUUUGGGAUGGAUGGUGAGUUUUUGUAGUAGUUACUCUUCUUGUUUAUCACAUACAAGUUUCAGUUGCCUUUACUUUUACUCAAUAAAUUUGUUCAUGGUUGAUUUGUGUUGAGGUUGUUAAAAUUGGAAUCCUACCUUCUGGAUAAUGAUAAAUUUGAUAUAAUACAUCUUUUAU